GGGGAUGUAGCUCAGUGGUAGAGCACAUGCUUUGCAUGUAUGAGGUCCCAGGUUGAAUCCCUGGCUCCUCCA
rnacentral:tRNA from 1 species